rnacentral:ncRNA from 1 species
AAAUACUUUGAUUUUGGGUAUUUAAUUUACUUUUAGUAUAAUUUACAUGUAAAUUUUAAAAUUAAUUUUGUUUUUGCAGUAUUUAAUUUUAAAUUAUUAUUUUACUAUAGAUUUGGUUAUUCUUUUAAUAUUGUAUAAUAUUGUGCCAGCAUACGCGGUUAUACAUUAUAUGUAAGUUAAUUUUUUUUUUAUUAAAAGUUAAUUUUUUUUAUUAAUUUAUUUAUUUUAUUUUUAGGUGAAAUUUAAAUUAUUGUUAAUUUAAUUUUUUGAUUCUUUGAAAUCUUUAUUUUAGACUAGGAUUAGAUACCCUAUUAUUUUAGAUGUUAAUUUUUAUUAGGUUAUUAAUAGUUAUUUUCUUUAAAUCCAAUAAAUUUGGCGGUGUUUUAUUCCUAUUAGAGGAACUUGUUAUAUAAUCGAUAAUCCUCGUUUUAUCUUUCUUUAUUUAAUUAAUUUGUAUAUCUCCGUUAUAAGUUUAUUUUUUUAGAAUUUUAUAAUUUACUAUUAAUUUUAUUAUAUUUUAUUUCAGGUCAAGGUGCAGUUUAUAUUAAAGUAUUGAUUAGUUACACUUUAAUUUAGAUAAACUAUUUUUUUUAUUUAAUAAUUUUUAUAUAGGUGGAUUUAAUAGUAAUUUUGAUAAUAGAGUCUUUUUGAUUUUUGGUUUUAAAAUAAGUACAUAUUGCCCGUCACUCUCAAUUUAUUUGAGAUAAGUCGUAACAUAGUAGAUGUACUGGAAAGUGUAUCUUGUUUUU